rnacentral:rRNA from 1 species
GACGUAGGGCGCGAGCGUUGUCCGGAUUUACUGGGCGUAAAGCGCACGUAGGCGGCUUGGCAAGUUAGAGGUGAAAGCCUGGAGCUCAACUCCAGAAUUGCCUUUAAGACUGCCGAGCUAGCAGGUGAGAGAGGUGAGUGGAAUUCCGAGUGUAGAGGUGAAAUUCGUAGAUAUUCGGAAGAACACCAGUGGCGAAGGCGGCUCACUGGCUCAUACUGGACGCUGAGGUGCGAAAGCGUGGGGAGCAAACAGG